rnacentral:rRNA from 1 species
UACGUAGGGGGGCAAGCGUUGUCCGGAUUUAUUGGGCGUAAAGAGCGUGUAGGCGGCCAAGCAGGUCAGCUGUGAAAACUCGAGGCUCAACCUCGAGACGUCGGUUGAAACCGCUUGGCUAGAGUCCGGAAGAGGAGAGUGGAAUUCCCGGUGUAGCGGUGAAAUGCGCAGAUAUCGGGAAGAACACCCGUGGCGAAGGCGGCUCUCUGGGACGGUACUGACGCUGAGACGCGAAAGCGUGGGGAGCGAACAGG